UACGGGGGGGGCAAGCAUUGUUCGGAAUCACUGGGCGUAAAGCGCACGUAGGCGGACUUUCAAGUCAGGGGUGAAAUCCCGGAGCUCAACUUCGGAAUUGCCUUUGAUACUGUUGGUCUCGAGUCCGGAAGAGGUGGGUGGAAUUCCUAGUGUAGAGGUGAAAUUCGUAGAUAUUAGGAAGAACACCGGUGGCGAAGGCGGCCCACUGGUCCGGUACUGACGCUGAGGUGCGAAAGCGUGGGGAGCAAACAGG
rnacentral:rRNA from 1 species